rnacentral:lncRNA from 1 species
UUCCAUUUGAUUUCCUUUCAUAGUUGUAUUUUUCCAUAUGUUCUUCUCUUUUUCCGGCGAGAAGAUAUUUCAACAGUGUGCAACAUGUUUCCACACUCUCAUGUUGUUCACAUACCCAAUUUUUUCUUCUUCAACACCGGCCAAGCCAAACAAUCUCAUACCUUUAACCAUUUUCCUUCCUAGGCGAAUUUCACACUUGAAACAAAGCUUUACGGAGGAGUAUUUCAUUGUUUUAAUUUUGAUGAAAUCUAGAUAGGAAUGGAAGUGGUUAGAGGGCUUCCGCCGGUCGAUACCCACUGGCCGAAGUGGUUUAUAGUAAAGUUCUCGGCGAUGAUUUCUAUUCUUAUUCUUUCUAGAAGUAAAUUUCCUAAUUCUCCUUUUUACUUGAUCGUAUUUUUAUUAUUUCUAAUGUAUUAUUUCAUUAAUGAUGCAAUGGAUUCAGUGUUGAGAAGUUCAUUUGAAAAGCUGAAGUUAUGCAAUUCGGUUCAUAAAUCCAACUUUGUAAUUAUGUUUAGAUCCUCUGUUAACACUUUUACUUGGUCUAGGGAAUGAUUUGAAUUUUAGUUGGGGAUGAUCUUCUUUAAUCCAAUCGACAAACAAUUUUGUUUGGCUUCAUUUUUGGGAAUGUUAUCUGCAAAGAGGAAAUGGAGGCUAGCAAAUUAUUUGCUGGAGGCAUUUCUUGGGAUAAAAUUGAUGAUAUGCUUAAAUAAUAUUUUAAAGCUUUUCGUGAUGUUGUUCAAGUUGUAAUCAUGAAAAGCCGGAUCACUGGCCAUGCUCCUGGU